rnacentral:rRNA from 1 species
AGCAGCCGCGGUAAUUCCAGCUCCAAUAGCGUAUAUUAAAGUUGUUGCAGUUAAAAAGCUCGUAGUUGAAUUUCGGGAUCAAUUUGCUGGUCGUGCCUCUGGUACGUACUGGUAUUAUUGGUUUCUCCCUUCUGACGAACCAUGAUGUCAUUAAUUUGAUGUCGUGGAGAAUCAGGACUGUUACUUUAGAAAAAUUAGAGUGUUUAAAGCAGGCAUUAGCUUGAAUACAUUAGCAUGGAAUAAUGAAAUAGGACGUUUGAUCCUAUUUUGUUGGUUUCUAGGAUUGACGUAAUGAUUAAUAGGGAUAGUUGGGGGCAUUAGUAUUCAAUUGUCAGAGGUGAAAUUCUUGGAUUUAUUGAAGACUAACUACUGCGAAAGCAUUUGCCAAGGAUGUUUUCAUUAAUCAAGAACGAAAGUUAGGGGAUCGAAGACGAUCAGAUACCGUCGUAGUCUUAACCAUAAACUAUGCCGACUAGGGAUCGGAUGAUGUUAAUUUUUAAUGUACUCAUUC